UCACGCACAAGUAUUGAUGAUACAAUGGUUCAAAUCAUUGAAAAAAUCAUUGAAACUGAUCCAUCUUCUCCCAUGAACAUAACAAGAAUUUUCGCAACUGAGAUCUUAAGUUGUAUUUGCCAAAACCUAAAACUGAGUAUGUGAAAAAGUAUUGGUUAAGUAGAGCAAGUCAAUUGAAUGCCGUUCAAUGUCGUACCACUUGAGCUCAGAAAUAGUUCUCAUCAUUAAUUAAUUUUUUAACGGGUUAUUUUCUGAUACCAGCCCGUCCUAAUAUACUUUCUUGAUUCCAGUCAAUAUUUUAUAUGCUAGUGUAACAAAUUCUUUGUAAUUAAAUGUUUUCUACAUAGUUUUUCUGUCUUCACAUCCCCCUUGGAAAUCAGGAUUGGCUAAGAGUUCGGCGUGGGGAAAAUAAAGAAGCUACUGGAGUAUAUUAUAUUGCCGGCAGUAAUUAAUAAAAUGUUCUAAAAUUCAUUAAACGAAGGCAUGCUUGCUUUAUAUUGCACCCACGCUAUGUGGAGACAUAUAUAGUCGACCCACAACGGCCAAAAUAUGAUACAACAAUAUUACCUCCGGUACUGCCGAUAGCUUUAAUUAAACAAACAGAUAUUAGAAGGUGACAAUAGCAGAGAGAUGGGAACCUAAUGAUUUCCUUGUUGACUGUGAUUUCUGUGCCUACACAUAACAGUAGCCGAUACAAUAAUAUCAAGGUUUCUUGACUUCCGUCAAAGUAAGUCUUUGUUUGUGGUUAGUGUGGCGAAAAUAAAGUUUUAAUUUUAAUUAGUUUAAAUAACCUUUUUCUUUUUAAGGAUAUUGUUCCCGACAUUGAAGCUUUAUUAUAAACCUCGUUCCCUUUUGUUAUAAGCGAUACAUCAGCCUCGUACCAGGCCCUAUCAAGACGAUUGCGCGAGGGAUCACUAUAAGCGCGCACGGCUGCUUGGAGAGGACGUGAAGAAAGCAACCAUUUAAGCCGGUUUUCCACUAGGCGGAAUUUUGCGCACGGAGCGGAUUGUCUUGUGAUUUCUUGGGUGGAACUAAUUGGGAAAGACAAAGAAAAAUUCCGGUCUGCGCACAAAAUUGCGCCUAGUGGACAGCCGGCUUUAAGCCGGUUUCUCGGGUGGAACUAAUAAGAAAGAGAAAGACAAAGAGAAAUUCCGCUCCUCGCGGAAAAUUCCGCCUAAUGGAAACCGGCUUUAGUGAUCCUCAGCGCAACUUUCGUGAAGAUAUCUGAAUGAAAUGAAAGGUAAUUUAAAAGAGAAAAUAUUUUUAGAACAUUUAUCCGACUUUUUGUGCACACUUUCUACUAUUUUCUUUGACUCUAUGAUAACAAAUUUAUAAACUACAUUUUGCAGCUGAGUUUGUUGGAUGUUCGUGGUCAGUCAGAUAGCAGUAUAAUGUGUACAUGUUCCUAGACAUUAAAUAAAAUAUACUUUCUGUAAACUAUAUGUACCUUGCAUUGACCACUAUUUUUUAAGCCGGCAAAUCUCUGUGUGCUUUGAGAGUUGCAAGUUUAACAAUAAACGUCAUCCUUAUAAUGAUACAGUCAAUCCCCAAAUAACUCUCUUAAGAGGACACCGCUUUUACCGAACAGAUUUCCUUCCUUUAGGAAUUUCUUUGAGGAGGGGGGAGGGGGCAUCAAAGAAAAGCGACCUAACUAGGAGGUGGUGAGGUGGGGGGUCUUCCUAACCUCUGGGGGCUAGUGUUUAGAUAAAGUUUCUUUCGGGG